AUUGAACGCUGGCGGGAGGCCUAACACAUGCAAGUCGAACGAGUGGCGGACGGGUGAGUAAUGUCUGGGAAACUGCCCGAUGGCGGGGGAUAACUACUGGAAACGGUAGCUAAUACAGCAUACCAUCAGAGGUGCCCAGAUGGGAUUAGCUUGUUGGUGGGGUAACGGCUCACCAAGGCGAAGAUCCGUAGCUGGUCUGAGAGGAUGACCAGCCACACGGGAACUGAGACACGGCCCAGACUCCUACGGGAGGCAGCAGUGGGGAAUAUUGCACAAUGGGCGAAAGCCUGAUGCAGCCAUGCCGCGUGUAUGAUGAAGGCCUUCGGGUUGUAAAGUACUUUUGGCAGGGAGGCGUUACCCGCAGAAGAAGCACCGGCUAACUCCGUGCCAGCCGCCGCGGUAAUUC
rnacentral:rRNA from 1 species